GUCCCUCUCUUUUUCUCCCUUUCCACUCCUGCGACCUCUACCUCAUGCCUCGUCUCCCCUCAACCUUCACACGCUCUCCUCCACCUCAGUCACAGCGGUGACCUUACCCGUCCUUCGUGCGAGAGCUGCAGCCAUUGGACACGUCUGCCCUCACCUUCCUGCCCCCACGCCCAGGGACCCAGCUUGGACCAAUCCUGCCUUCCCAGCCUGUAUCUGGAUGGAACAUCACCUUCAGCUGUGAGGAGAAGGAGAAGAGGAACGUCUCGCCAGUACCGUAGAAGCCUUUGCUGAGUUGAAACGCUGAGGAGGAGAAGGCCCCAAACAUCUGGAAAGCAGAAGAGCGUGCAGUUUGCAGCUGGAAGGGACUUGGUGGUCCUCUGGAAACCCCCCUGUCCAGGCUCACCUGCCCGUCCUGGUCCUUCAGCACCAGCAGCACCGGCCCACUGUGGCCCUCCAUCUGCCUGUACAGGCUCCGCAGACUGAAACCGUCCCUUGCUGUGCAGAAGGCCAGACUCCAGACGGAGUGUCCUCCACCUGGCUGGGCUGCGAAGACACAAAGAGGCAUGGAGGGUCCAGGGACAGGAGACAGCAGCUCCCACACCUCCCUGGCCUGAGAGCCUCAGCACCCACCCAACCCAGGCCCCCACGACCACCAGCCCAUCCAGAGGAGUCUGGGGAGUGUCCCCCACAGACAAGACCUGGCCCCGCCUCCAGCCGGCUUCCUCCCUGGCACCGGCGAGCUGAAGGUUAGAACCCACACGCCCAUCAGAUGUGGCCACGGGCCCUGUGGUUUGUCUGUCUGUCUGCUCUGGAUGCAGGGUGAGUGCCAGGGACCCAGCUCUCAGUUUGAGGGCAGGAGAGGGGGCAGGUGGCAGCCCAGCUCUGCAGGAUUGUGCAUGGAAUAACAGCCGGGACGAGAACAACAGUGAUAACCAGAGCAGCCGACACUGACCGGCACACCCUGGACCAGGCCCGUGUGCAGUGUUUGCUGUGCGUGUUCUCUCCGAAUUUCCCCAGGAAUCCCAAGAACGUGCUUCUUAUUAUCCUGAUUGUAUAAAGGAAAAAAAUGAGCCCCCAGGGCUUCCCUGUCAGCCAGUGAAACGAUCAUGCAUGUCGUUGUAGGCGAAGUGUGUGCAGGUUUGUGUAAAAUGUGCACUCGUCCGUGUGAGUGUGUGCAUUGGCUUAAACUAGAGUUGUAUAGGCACAUGGGUGUGAGAACACCGGUGUUGAGUGUAGCUGUGUGUUUACCUCUCAAUGUGUUUGUGAGUGUGAGUUGGGACUGUAUAAACAUGGAUGUGAGUCAGUGGGCAUGUAUGCAAGUGUAUUCAUUCAUUCCUUCACGUGAGCUUCCUCUCUGUACCAGUGUGUGAGCAUGCAUGUGUGUGUGUGCGUGCAGUGACCUCAGGGCUUUUCGCAGGCAGGAGGGACCUCACGGAUGAGAGAUGAACAGGACAUCGUGUUCCCUCCCCCGGGUACAGGCCUAAGGAGGGGUCCUGCUGCGUGGGGCUUCCGGGCAGAGCUCCACCUGGCACCCCCUCCAGGGAGGAGGGCACGGAAUGGCAGUCUGUGCUCCCCGGGGUCUCAGGGCCAUGGGGCGGCCAGCUGAGUCCCCCUGCUCCUGAGUCCAUGCUCCGAACCGCGGGCCAGCUGGGCUGGCAGGAGGAACACGUCACCUGCCGGCAUUCACCCCUAGCUCAGGCCCCACCCUGCCGGAGGGCUGGCCUCCCCGUACCUUUCCUGGCCCAACCCCAGCCCAGG